GACGUAGGGGCCGAGCGUUGUCCGGAGUUACUGGGCGUAAAGGGCGCGCAGGCGGUUCUCCGCAUCUCUGGUGAAAGCCCGAGCUUAACUCGGGAGGGUCCAGGGAGAUGGGGGGACUUGAGGCAGGGCGAGGGCGGUGGAAUUCCGGGUGUGAGUGGUGAAAUGCGUAGAGCUCCGGAGGAACACCAGUGGCGAGGCGGCCGCCUGGACCUGAC
rnacentral:rRNA from 1 species